rnacentral:rRNA from 1 species
ACACGACUACAUUAGAUACCCCCGUAGUCCUAGGCGUAAAUGAUGCGAGUUAAGUNUGGGGGCAUCUACGAGAUGGCCCUGUGCUGUAGGGUAGCCGUUAAACUCGCUGCCUGGGGAGUACGGUCGCAAGGCUGAAACUUAAAGGAAUUGGCGGGGAGCACCACAAGAGGUGGAGGCUGCGGUUCAAUUGGACUCAACGCCGGAAAACUCAUCGGGAGCGACAGCAGUAUGAUUGCCAGGUUGAUGACCUUGCUUGACAAGCUG